GUAGUACCUGCACAAUUCUACCAACAAGGAGGGGCCUCAUCCACAGGCUUUUCUUCACUAUUUAUCCUUGGCAGAUUCCUUCAGGCUCACCAGUUCUCAUUUACUGAGCACUCGCUAUGCACAGAGCUAAUUAGCCAGAGUUGGAUUGGUUUUCCUUAAAGAGAAGAUCUGGAGAAAAAGAAUGGAUGAAGAUGACUUUUAUGAGAUACAAUCUUCUGAGGCACAGACAAAAGAGUCGUCCGUUCUCAGUCCUCACUGUGUUCUAGAAGAAAAGCCAUGAAAGGGUGUGGGGCUUUUGCAUCAACAACAGGCUGGCAGAGAAAGUUCAAUCCCAGUAGCCCUUGCAGGAACACACCCUUUUUGAUGAUUGCUGGAAUCAUCUCAUCAGAACCUGUGCUGUUUACCCAGCAACGCUUUGAUGCAAGACUCAAGAGAAUAACUGAAAGGAAGAGUGUCCUAUGUUAGCUGGAGCUUUUCAGCGGCUUAUGCUGUUGUGGUGGGACAGUUCACAUGAUGACAACUGGAAAGCCAAGUCCAGGGAGUGGAAGAAGGACCUUGAGCAAAUGCUGCCCCAGAGCCAGAAGGACACACCCUCUCCUACUGUUCGUCUCCUCCCAGUGAUGACCUCAGACAAAUGGACUCAUUAAAGGACUAAUCCUUUCAGGAUUGAUCAGCCGGCAAACAAGCCCCUAGCCCACAAAGCUAUAGGUAGCAUGUCAUAUCCUAACCACGACAGACUCGAAUCGCACCUCAGCCGGCACACACUUUUAGGUUGUACCUGUACCUGUAUGUAGAGAACAACUUUCUGUGAUCCUGAAGAAAAAUUUGCACAAAGGAACAGGGUAAAGUAGACUUUGGGGGGGUGAGAAAUUUCAGCCAUGUGGAAACUUCCAUGGCUGCGAGGAUGGUUGCUACAGUGCUCUGAGGAACCUCUGAGGAUCCCCUGUCAGCAGAAGGAAAGAGGUGUAGCCACACAGUGUGCACCUGUAGAGAGACAUAGGAAAGGUCACUUAGGAAGGAAGAAUGGCUAGGCAGGUAAUUCUGCAGUAGGAACACCGGACAUCAGGC
rnacentral:lncRNA from 1 species